CGGGAAACUGGGCCUCCUCCCCUCUCGACUAUGGAUGCUGGAAUGCUUCGUAGUUGAAAGGUCCGCCGCUGUAGGAUGGGUCUGCGGCCGAUUAGGUUGUUGUUGGGGUAACGGCCCAACAAGCCUGUAAUCGGUACGGGUUGUGGGAGCAAGAGCCCGGAGAUGGAUUCUGAGACACGAAUCCAGGCCCUACGGGGCGCAGCAGGCGCGAAAACUUUACAAUGCGGGAAACCGUGAUAAGGGAACUCUGAGUGCCCGUAAAAUCGGGCUGUCCAUCAGUUUAAAUAACUGGUGAAGAAAGGGCCGGGCAAGACCGGUGCCAGCCGCCGCGGUAACA
rnacentral:rRNA from 1 species